rnacentral:sRNA from 1 species
CCUCCAUGUUCUCUCCGUGGCCUCCUCUGGUCUCCUCCUGUCUCCCCUGGACUCCUGAGACAUUCGGAUUGCACUGUCCUUCUAAAAGAAGAAGAGCUGAGACUGAGGAAGCCCUACCAUGUCUUGGACAGGAAAUGACAGCAGAGAAGUGACCCCAGGUCUCGGUCACCCCUCACUAGCUCACCCACGAUGGCCAUUUGUGGGUGUAAACGUCACCUGAGAUCCCGAGGGCUAGAAUUUCAGCCUAUGAAUUACAGGGAGACAUGGUCCACGUGUCACAGCAUGGGAUGAUCACGGAAUGCCAGUGGCAUUACAGCAAGAAGCCUGAACUCAGCGAGCAAGCAAAUCAUGCAGAAUCCAGAGGCCAAGAAACCUGAAUCAUGCAGAAUCCUGAGAGAACAGCGCUCCGAAGUUGUAAGGUCUAAGACCAGAGGGUAAGGUCUAAGACGGACGCAGCUAAGCACAGUAAAAAACCCAGAAGAUGGUCUCGAUGGCAUAGAGAAUCCAAUAGCGAGAGAGCAGUAGCAGGAGUUUGGGGCAGCUGCGCAUGUCGCAUCCUCAGCCAGGAAGCAGAAUGCAGGUGCUCAGCUCCUUUUAUAAAAAGUUCGGAAUGUCAGCCCGUGCCACCCACAGCCGUCUCAGGUGGUUCCACAUCUCAUCAAGCUGGCAAGUGAGACCGAACUCCACAGUCCCCAUCACCCCCUACCUCUGCCCCAGUGAUGGGGUACUUUCAAAGCACAAACACUGGCUCAGCCGCUUAUAUUCCCUGGUGCAUUGUGUUCGCCCAUGCGCCCAGGUCAUGGCCGCAGGAGCCAGCCAACCGUGCAGGUGUGGGCUGCCCGCUCCAGCCCCAGCGCUCUGCAGCCAUUACCCAGAAGUUCUCCGAGAGCUGGCUCCGUGAGUGUGGACUGUGCGUGGAUGCUGUGAGCAAGUAGGCUCCAUUCCUGGGUGAGCAGUGGACACUUUUAAGGAGGCAGAAGGGAGUUCGCUCAGGAAAACAACGCCAAACAUGGGGCCCAGGCUUUCUCCUCUGCAGCCAGUGAGGGAGCCCCGGAGUACGAGGGGACUGAAAAGGUGGCCGUGGGCUUUCCAGGUUCUACUUGCCGUUGUGUGAGUUCUCAUUU